rnacentral:lncRNA from 1 species
AAGCAGGUUCCCCCUAGGCAGAGCGCCAAGAAGCAGCCCAGGCGAUCCCAAGGCGCACAAGUGCUCUCACCAGGCUGCGCGCUGGCGGGUCGGUGCACAGGGACGGGGUCGCCGCCCACGCGCGCUUGGUUCAGGGAGCCCAGGCUGUCCCUACCCGCGGCUACAAAAGCUCGCCGAGUCUUCCUGUCCACCCAAUCGCCCCACAUGUCAGCGGUUGGUCGCCUCGCGGUGCAGUGCUGGGCACGCGAGCCCCUCCCGCAGUCAUUCUCAGCACAAGCACCAGCCUGGAGCCCCGCAGCGACAGAGCUGAGAGCCCCCAAGCCGCAGAGGUCGUGCGGAGCAGGUUGCAAAUGUCUUAGAAACACACUCCUGGACCACAGCUUCAAGAGACGCAAGCAGUCACCUCAUCUGCUGGUUUCCAAGCUGCCCUGCCAGAAGCAGGUCAGGGGUCCCACAGGGGUCCUCAGUAACUCCUCAAAAUCCUCUCCCAUCAAUGGCCCCACCAGAUCAUCCCUACUUUUGAAUGCUUGUCCAAUGCAGGUUCCAGAUUUGAUUAAGUGAAACAAAGCCCCAGCUGCUGGAGCAGAGGUUCCACUUGGGUUCCACAGACACCCACAGCCCAAAUCCCUGGAGGCCUAAGGCAAUAGCUAAUUGAGACUAUGCAUCACUAUUAAGGCAUCUUCACUAAAGGGCGCUGUGGAAACGCUGCCUGAGAUGCAGACACCUGUCAGAAGGGGGCUAAAUUUCAAACAAGGAACGUGGUGUUGCAUCACAAUAAAUAGAUACGGGGUUUCACCGUGUUAGCCAGGAUGGUCUCGAUCUCCUGACUUCAUGAUUCACAUGCCUCGGCCUCCCAAAGUGCUGGGAUUACAGAACAGAAGAAACACACGUGUUCUUGUGUGUAAACCCAGUCCAUGGAAGAGACCGUCUGCUUGUCCCUCCUGAUCUCUGGGCCCAGACAACCAGUAGUCACCAUUCCAAGUGAGGGGUGGCUGCAACUCUACAGCCCCGUUCGUCUCUCCUCACUGUCAAAGCUGCUGAGACCCCAGACUCGACACUUGAAAGAAACCCAUGUCUGUGAAGCACUUGUGGACCAUUCAAGAUUGUGGAAGAAUCACUCAAGAGAAGGAGAUAGGUGAUGGGAUCUAGCUUCUGAUGGUUUCUAUUUUAUUGAAUGUCUAAUAGGGCAAGAAUUUGAAAAACGAGAAUGUUUGCCAUGCAGGAGGACCUGGGAAGGAGAUAACACAUUUACAGGGAGAAAGAUUGGGAUUCAGUUGGGAGGAGUAACUGAGGAAAGGGGUCACUCAAAAUAUUUUGUAUUUUAGGUCCUUUUUCUAUUAAGGAGGAAUGGAUUAUCAAAGCCUUAACAUUAAAUUGUAUUGUGUCAGGUGAAUUGCUAUGGUUUGAAUGUGGUGUGUCCCCCUCCCAAACUCACAUUGAAUUUUUUUUUUUUUUUUUGAGACGGAGUCUCGCUCUGUUGCCCAGGCUGGAGUGCAGUGGUGCGAUCUUGGCUCACUACAAGCUCUGCCUCCCGGGUUCAAGAGAUUCUCCUGCCUCAGCCUCCCGAGUAGCUGGGAUUACAGAUGUUCGUCACCACACCUGGCUAAUUUUUGUAUUUUUAAUAGAGAUGGGGUUUCACUAUGUUGGCUAGGCUGGUCUCAAACUCCCGACAUCAGGUGAUCCACCCACCUCGGCCUCCCAAAGUGCUGGGAUUAGAGGAGUGAGCCACUGCACCCAGCCUCACGUUGAGGUUUAAUUGCCAUUGUAACAGUAUAAAGAUGUGGGACCUUUACGAGGUGAUUAGGCAAUGAGGACUCUGCCCUCAUGAAUGGAUUAAUGCUGUUAUCAUGGGAGUGGAUUCCUUAUAAAGGGACACGUUCAGCACCCCCUUGCUCUCUCUCUCACCUUCCGCCAUAUGAUGAUGGGGCACAAAGGCCAUCAUCAGAUGUUGGCCCCUUGUUCUCGAACUUCCCAACCUCCAGAGCAGUAAAAAAAUAAAUCACUGUUCUUUAC